GAUGAACGCUGACAGAAUGCUUAACACAUGCAAGUCUACUUGAAGCUAACUUCGGUUAGUGGAGGGUGGCGGACGGGUGAGUAACGCGUAAAGAACUUGCCUCACAGAUUGGGACAACAUUUGGAAACGAAUGCUAAUACCGGAUAUUAUGAUACUUCUGCAUGGAAGAAUCAUGAAAGCUAUAUGCGCUGUGAGAGAGCUUUGCGUCCCAUUAGCUAGUUGGAGAGGUAACGGCUCACCAAGGCGAUGAUGGGUAGCCGGCCUGAGAGGGUGAACGGCCACAAGGGGACUGAGACACGGCCCUUACUCCUACGGGAGGCAGCAGUGGGGAAUAUUGGACAAUGGACCAAAAGUCUGAUCCAGCAAUUCUGUGUGCACGAUGAAGUUUUUCGGAAUGUAAAGUGCUUUCAGUUGGGAAGAAGCAAGUGACGGUACCAACAGAAGAAGCGACGGCUAAAUACGUGCCAGCAGCCGCGGUAAUACGUAUGUCGCAAGCGUUAUCCGGAUUUAUUGGGCGUAAAGCGCGUCUAGGUGGUUAUAUAAGUCUGAUGUGAAAAUGCGGGGCUCAACUCCGUAUUGCGUUGGAAACUGUAUGACUAGAGUACUGGAGAGGUAAGCGGAACUACAAGUGUAGAGGUGAAAUUCGUAGAUAUUUGUAGGAAUGCCGAUGGGGAAGCCAGCUUACUGGACAGAUACUGACGCUAAAGCGCGAAAGCGUGGGUAGCAAACAGG
rnacentral:rRNA from 1 species